GCUAACUUCUUCACGUUUAUGGAAAAUCGCACAAAUCCAGGGUUUUGGCCUCAGAUUCUUGACUUACGAGGUUGAGAGGCUGCACAAGGGCUGAACUGUUGUGUAAAGCGCAUGGUUAGAAAUGGCGAUGGUGCUGAUCUUGCAGAGGAAUGGAUAACAGGAAGGAGGAAAGAAGUAGAUCGCUAUGUGCAACAUCACACGAAGAGCUGAAAGUCCGAGGAAAAGAAAAAAGGAAACGAAAACGUAGUAGAAGCAGAUCAUCAUCAGUUUCAUCCACAUCAUCUUCUAGUGCUACCACGUCCUCCACUUCUUCCUCCUCAUCACGCUCGUCAUCGAGGUCUUCUUCAAGUAGCAGGGAUUCUCCUAAGUCUAAAUCAAAGAAAAAGAAAAAAGAAAAACACAACAAAAAGGUAAACAUUUGCUGAGAGGAAUAAGUAGUUAACUGAACAGAAAAUAGAUCUUCAUAACCUUAAAUCUCAUGUAAGAUUUAAUGCUUUUGUCUGUUAUGGACAUG